rnacentral:rRNA from 1 species
ACAUCCAGAGAAUUUAGCAGAGAUGCUUUAGUGCCUUCGGGAACUCUGAGACAGGUGCUGCAUGGCUGUCGUCAGCUCAUGUUGUGAAAUGUUGGGUUAAGUCCGCAACGAGCGCAACCCUUAUCCUUUGUUGCCAGCACGUAAUGGUGGGAACUCAAAGGAGACUGCCGGUGAUAAACCGGAGGAAGGUGGGGAUGACGUCAAGUCAUCAUGGCCCUUACGAGUAGGGCUACACACGUGCUACAAUGGCGUAUACAAAGAGAAGCGACCUCGCGAGAGCAAGCGGACCUCAUAAAGUGCGUCGUAGUCCGGAUUGGAGUCUGCAACUCGACUCCAUGAAGUCGGAAUCGCUAGUAAUCGUAAAUCAGAAUGUUACGGUGAAUACGUUCCCGGGCCUUGUACACACCGCCCGUCACACCAUGGGAGUGGGUUGCAAAAGAAGUAGAUAGCUUAACCUUCGGGAGGGCGUUUACCACUUUGUGAUUCAUGACUGGGGUGAAGUCGUAACAAGGUAAGCGUAGUGCU